CUGACAGUGAAGACAUGGAUACUUCAUCCGCCGUUGAUGCUUUAACAACGCCGAGAUUUGAAGAAGGGUACCCAAUAAAAAAUGACAUUGGAAAGAACAACAGCAGAAGAUGGCCAAUGAAUUACGGAGAAAUGUAUUAUACGCCCCUAGAUGAUCGUCAAGAAAAAACAUUUUCAAGAAAAUCCAGAGCUGGUAUUUUUACAAACAACCCAGUCUAUCCGAAUUCGAAC